AGAGGAAGGAAUUGAAAACUAGAGAGUGUGCUACUUCUUGCAAUAGGUAUCUCUACCUGCUGCAAAAUGUAGUGUACACCCACAGUUCAAUCUGAAAAAUGACAACAGAGAACACAGAGUGUGCUCUCCUGUGUUUGAGAGCAUUUGCAGCAAUGUGGAGUGACAGCAGGAUGACUGCAGCUGAUUAAAAAAGUGUUUGUGGCAGAGCCCUCCACCUGUCCUUCAUUUGAACAUAAAAAGCCAUUUGAAAAACUGUAACUUUCUCUUAGUGACAAGCUCAUUUACAGGUAUGUCACUGUUCAGUUGGAUCUCUACUGCCACGCAGAAAUUUGAAUCAAAGGGAGAAAAUACCUUUUUACUGGUAAGGAAAAUGGUGUGGUUUUUUCCUGCUUUGGGAACUUCAUUUGUGCCUUUUAGGCUGCUGCUUUGCCCUAUGCCCUGAGCACCCCUUUCGUGGCUGUUGUUUUUGAGGCUGAAGUUUCAGACAUGCUAAACAUUCUUCAGAUGACAAAAAAAGGGAGGUGGAAGCCUGAUUGCCGUAAGUUUGCACAGUUAGAGCCCACCACUGUGCAAGCCCCGAGCAGCAGCUUUGCCUGUGCCUCAGAGCAUGUGCCAACACUGCCGUCUGGCUUCCACAAAGGCUUUGUGCACUUCUGCUCCUUGCUGACUUGCGCUCAUGCGUUAACACAGCUUUGUCGAGCCUCUGUCGGCGAGUCAAGGUCCUGCAGUACUGGCUUCUGUUUGGAAACACAGAGUCGUUUGAAGUGGUUGCAGCACAAGAUGAGGGAUGGGAGAGGGCAGCAACAGAGGAGAUCUGAAGUGGCAGUGCAUCAAGAACACUCAUCGUCUGUGCUUGCAGAUAGGGAAAUGAAACCCAUCUGUCCAAACUCUUACAAGAUAUCUGGCACCACAACAGGCAGAAAAGCCAGUUUCAGGUCUGUUCAGUAUUUCUAAUGACAGAGCAUUUGCAAUGUCAUUGAACAGAGUCUCCUGACAUAUCAUCCCCCUGAUAUGUCCUUCAGGCUCAGCACUGAACCCUGCUUUCCUGUGUGUGUCUAUCUUUCCCUUAUUCUUCUCUGUCUCAUACCACAAAUACAUCUUUUUUACUCUUCCCCCAUAGAAGCUGAAGCUUUUACUUCUUGGUCUGUGGUGACCUGGCAAAUACUUGUCUGAAGUCAUCUGAAGUACUGUGUUUAGGUUUUGUACCUUUCUACCUUUCAUCUGGUAAUCUUGAGAUUUUAAAAGUUUGUGUAGUUUCCAUUUACCAUUAAAUUGCAUUUAUUUACCAAAAUCUGUAUUUAUAUAGCCUUUAGCUUACAGAUGGUAUUGCAUAAAUAAUAAAAAGGAUAAUGAAAGUAUAUGAUUAUUUUUAAGGAGGUAGAAGGCUUUAUUAGGGCUCUAGUAUGAAAUUGCACUAUUCCUCCAUUUUCAAACAGUAUGUAAUGCAGGAAUCAAGCAAUUAUGUUUGAGAUUUCCGGUCAUGUAACUUGUGAGAAAUUGAUUAUCAUCAUAUAUUAAAGUGAUUUAAAGCAGUAUUUAGCCCAGA